GGAGGGGAGGAGUAAGACAAGUACCUCAAACACAGCAGCUCUUCCAACAGACUGCUGCCACCAAGGCCAGAGAGAGGUGCACCAGGGGGCUGCAGCUGAGAGCCAGCCUGCCCAGAGACCUGGGCAUCAUAGACCAGGUGUACCAGCUCCUCAAGGGAAUGCCCUUCUAUAAAGACGUCACAGUGCCACUUGUUGUCAAGACUGACUCACGGCAAUACAUAAGCAACAUGGCUGCCAAGCCCUAUUGGCCCUGGCGGGAUCAAGACUUGCACCCCCAGGGGCUGGGCCACAGUGUCUCCACCAUGCCUCUCCAGGGCAUGUGCCCAAAUUGGGUGUGAAGUGCACCGAUUCGGAGUGAACAAUGUUUCCUCUUACCCAUGCCUCUCUGGGUAAGCUGGGUAACAACAACAGCAGCUUUGCUGAAACGCACAUGCAGGGAUCUCCCCCUACCACCCUGAGGCUGCCCCACCCCAGGCUGCCCCUCCCUCAGGUAUGUGAAGGACCCAGCGCUCCCCAGGCCUCUACACCAUCUCUAAGCUAGCCCCUAUGACCAAGCGGCCAAUACUUCAAUUUGUUGAUUGCCCCCUCUAUAUCUGUCAUGGCCCUGUCACAGAACAGCAGGUAGGAAAUCAGCUAAUGACAUAUAAGAUUGUUUGUGGUAACAAAUAUCACCUCUCAUGAGGUUUUGGGCAAAUAGGUAAUACAAGGUGGGUGAAAUAAGAUUUUCCUACACCUGUUGGGGAAAGCACAGCAGCUGUCUUUGUCUUCGGCCCAUGAUCUAAAGUGGAUGCAGCACAAGGCUCUCACUCCGGCAGCCCACAUCUGGCUGCCGCAGCUCUCCGGUGGACACUUUGUGGCAUCGUACGGAGUGAUGGAGAUAUACCAGGCUACAGACCAGACCGUGGUCAACCGCUGUGAUUAGGCCAUCGACCACCAUCACUCCCGGGACCUGGUGAAAGAAGAAGCUAUGGAUGUAGAUACCGGCAAGACUGCUGUCCCUUCCAUGAACAAGCCAAACCAGCCGA